rnacentral:rRNA from 1 species
UGGUGGGUAGUUUGACUGGGGCGGUCUCCUCCUAAAGAGUAACGGAGGAGCACGAAGGUUGGCUAAUCCUGGUCGGACAUCAGGAGGUUAGUGCAAUGGCAUAAGCCAGCUUGACUGCGAGCGUGACGGCGCGAGCAGGUGCGAAAGCAGGUCAUAGUGAUCCGGUGGUUCUGAAUGGAAGGGCCAUCGCUCAACGGAUAAAAGGUACUCCGGGGAUAACAGGCUGAUACCGCCCAAGAGUUCAUAUCGACGGCGGUGUUUGGCACCUCGAUGUCGGCUCAUCACAUCCUGGGGCUGAAGUAGGUCCCAAGGGUAUGGCUGUUCGCCAUUUAAAGUGGUACGCGAGCUGGGUUUAGAACGUCGUGAGACAGUUCGGUCCCUAUCU